CAGAGGGAUGGGAAUGACCUCAGCUAAGUCUUUCUCGAAAGCAUAAUUUUGAAAUAAACUCUCACUGAUUGGCAAAUUCUAGGCUCAAGAUCCAUGGACAUUAAAAUUGCUGACAAAGAUUAGAAUCUUGAUCCCGAGUCAAAAAAUUAAGAUUGCAAAUGUUUGUAAGGAAAUGUCACUUAAUCAUGUGAAGAGGGUUACAUUGAUUGAUGAUGGAUUUAGAAUGACGACUAAAAGAAUCCUAAAAAUUUGAGUUGUGUUAUUUCUGAAGAGAGUGGUUCAUUUGGAGCACUAUCCUUCAUGGUGAGCAUUUCUCUAUAUGAUGAGAAACUAAGCAUUUUCUCUAUACGACGACAAAGUAGAUGCUAUGGUAUUGAAUUGAUAUGACCAUAUUUGCUGCUAUAUUUUAUUUUCAGCUCAUGAGUGGCAUUUAUGCACAGAUUUUAUAGAAA